UAAAAUUUAUUUAUCUUUUUAUAUUUUUAUAUAUGAGUUCUGUUUUUGAAUGCUGGUACCAUACAUGAGCCUGGUGCCCAUGGAGGUCAGAAAGAGGGCAUUGUUGGAUCCCAUGGGGUUGGAUUCAUAGGUACUUGUAACUCAUUCCAGUGUUCGGAAUGACCCUCCAUCCUCUUCAAGAUCAGCAAGUGCUCUUAAGCACUAAGCCAUGUAUGCGUUUUGUAAGGUAUAUGCUAAAGUCCAUAAUAGAUCAUGUGGGACAAACUUCCCAGCAUGGAAUAUUCUAGUCUUUCCAGUGGAGAGUGGUAUGGAGAAGACAUUUGAACCCCAAAGGAUCCACACUGAAGUGCAGUGGCACUCACUAGCAGUGUGAAUCUAGGUACAUCUUUCCCGAGAGCCUCAGCUUUCUUCUUUGGAUGGAGAUGGUUAGGGCUGGAGAGACGUCUCAGAGGUUAAGAGCUCUUGCUGAUCUUCCAGAAGACUCAAGUUCAGUUCCCAGCAUCCAUGUUAAACAACUCACAAUGACCUGAAGCUGAUUCCAUUCCCUUCCUCUGGGCUCCAUUGGGACUUGCCCUCACAUGACAUACAUUCACACAGAUAAAUAAAGAUAAAUCUUAAAGAGUCCAGAUAAUUAAAGUCUAGGACACAGUGCUAAAGAUAAAGAUUGAAUGGAAGAAGACAUUGUGUGGCAUGCAGUAGACAAUGGCUUAGUCUGUGAAUUAUUACCCAGAAUUCAUCUCUGCAUUUAUCCCCAUUGCCUCUGAAACGUUGUUAUAAAGUGCCCCGGCAACACUUCACAGCUCCAAAUGGUGACUCAUCAGCCCCUGCUUUCUCUAAUGGCAAGAAGUGAAGAACCAGGAGCCUUAAACGGACUGAUUGGAGCAUCAAACCAGAGCACUUGGCCAUCCCUGCUGACUUCUGCUGAGUGGCGCCACUUGCACUUCGCAUCGACAGCAUCUCCCGGCCUCUCUUGAUUUAAAAUGGAGUUGUGCUGCUAAAGUAAAGUAUGCAAUUACACGAAAACGCCGACAUUAUCCCUCGAAAGACUCAACUUCUUUAAUUAUGAAAACCAAACUUACUCAAGUCCCCUGAGAGAGCUUCCAUGGGAGGAAGCACAGGGAGCCAAGCCACAGUCUGAAUACAGCUGCAGACAAGCUUCUACUUGGAUCCAGUAGCAGCUCUUCCUCCUCUGAUUAAGGCAGAGCAGGGGAAAAUAUCUCUUGUGAAAGAAAGAAGGAGGAGGAGGAGGAGGAGGAGGAAAAGAAGAAGAAGAAGAAGGAGGAGAAGAAG